CCAAUAUGUCAAAGACUUUGUGUCAUGGUGCCUCUGUCAGUCUCCUCCCCCUCUCCACUCUCCCCUCCUCUCCACCUGGCUGCUGAUCAUCCCCAGCUGCAACCACUCAUCUCGUCUCCUCACCUGCCUACUUAAGGAGCUCCAGGACCUUCAUUCCCCGCCAGUCCGUUGCCCCUGAUGGAAUCUCCUACCUCGAGUGGUUGCAUGUUUUUCCCCACUUCCGGAUCUCCAGUCGGGUCUCCUUCCACGGUCACACCACGAGCCUCUGCCUCUGCUUCACGUUCCUGCGUCCAAGACGGCCAUCUCCCUCUUGGAGGACAAGAUCGCCUACUACGCCUCCAACCUCUGCCUCCUGCUCGGAGCCUGCUUCCUGUCCUGUUCAGGACCCAACCUUCUCACCACAUUAUUAAAAUUAUUGCCUUCCA